rnacentral:rRNA from 1 species
CUGCCCUACGGGGGGCAGCAGUGGGGAAUAUUGGGCAAUGGGCGCAAGCCUGACCCAGCAACGCCGCGUGAAGGAAGAAGGCUUUCGGGUUGUAAACUUCUUUUCUUGGGGACGAAGAAAGUGACGGUACCCAAGGAAUAAGCCACGGCUAACUACGUGCCAGCAGCCGCGGUAAUACGUAGGUGGCAAGCGUUAUCCGGAUUUAUUGGGUGUAAAGGGCGUGUAGGCGGGAAUGCAAGUCAGAUGUGAAAACCCGGGGCUCAACUCCGGGAUUGCAUUUGAAACUGUCCGGCUGGAGUGAAGGG